rnacentral:tRNA from 1 species
GGCCAGAUGGCUCAGUUGGUUGGAGCAUUGUCUUGUACACCAAAAGGUUGCAGGUUCAACUCCCAGUCUGGGCA